UACGUAGGCAGCAAGCGUUGUUCGGAGUUACUGGGCGUAAAGGGUGUGUAGGCGGUUGCUUAAGUUUGGUGUGAAAUCUCCCGGCUCAACUGGGAGGGUGCGCCGAAUACUGAGUGACUCGAGUGCGGGAGAGGAAAGUGGAAUUCCUGGUGUAGCGGUGAAAUGCGUAGAUAUCAGGAGGAACACCAGCGGCGAAGGCGGCAUCCUGGACUGGUCCUGACACUCAGGAGCGAAAGCGUGGGGAGCGAUCCGG
rnacentral:rRNA from 1 species